UACGUAGGGUGCGAGCGUUAAUCGGAAUUACUGGGCGUAAAGGGUUCGCAGGCGGCCAAGUGUGUUAGGCGUGAAAGCCCGGGGCUUAACCCCGGAAUUGCACCUAAAACUACAUGGCUAGAGCAUUGGAGAGGGUAGCGGAAUUCACGGUGUAGCAGUGAAAUGCGUAGAUAUCGUGAGGAACACCAGAGGCGAAGGCGGCUACCUGGACAAUUGCUGACGCUCAGGCACGAAAGCGUGGGGAGCAAAAGGG
rnacentral:rRNA from 1 species